CCUGAAGUUGGUGAGUUGCUCUUGGUGACCAGAACAUAUGUCCUUCUUUCAGCAAUAUUGAGAUAAAAGUGAACCGGAAGAGGAAUUGAAAAUGGAAUACACCAAAUAGACAGAGGCAGGAGACUCUCUCUUAUUUCUGCUGCUGUAUUUUGAAAAACUGGCAAACACGAGUUUCGUUCCGUGACUCUUCAGGACAAUAAAGAAAAUGGACAUCAGUAUGAAGCAUAAUUUUUUUUUAGACCAGUGCAG